rnacentral:lncRNA from 1 species
UUCUGGACAUAACAACAACAGAGGUUGCUGAUUAUGUAGUUGGAGGUUUUAUAGCUUGUGACAAUUCCCACCUUGACGUCAUGAAGAUAAGAAAUUUGUCGGCUUUGUAGCAAACGAAUUAAACGAAACAGCAUCAAAGGUAAUGUUGACCCGAAUGAUUAGGCUCAUAUUCAGAAAGACAGAAUUUGAUCCAGACUCGAC